CCUACGGGUGGCAGCAGUGAGGAAUAUUGGUCAAUGGACGCUAGUCUGAACCAGCCAUGCCGCGUGCAGGAUGACGGCUCUAUGAGUUGUAAACUGCUUUUGUACGGGGGUAAACCCCGAUACGUGUAUCGCUUUGCAUGUAUCGUACGAAUAAGGAUCGGCUAACUCCGUGCCAGCAGCCGCGGUAAUACGGAGGAUCCGAGCGUUAUCCGGAUUUAUUGGGUUUAAAGGGUGCGUAGGCGGGUUGAUAAGUUAGAGGUGAAAGGUCGGGGCUCAACCGCGAAACUGCCGCUAAUACUGUUGGACUAGAGAAUAGUAGCGGUAGGCGGAAUGUAUGGUGUAGCGGUGAAAUGCUUAGAGAUCAUACAGAACACCGAUUGCGAAGGCAGCCUACCAAACUAUAUCUGACGUUGAGGCACGAAAGCGUGGGUAGCAAACAGGAUUAGAUACCCUAGUAGUC
rnacentral:rRNA from 1 species